GCCGGGGUGGCCGAGCGGCCCAAGGCGGCGGAUUGCUAAUCCGCUUCCCGACAGGGAACCCGGGUUCGAAUCCCGGCCCCGGCG
rnacentral:tRNA from 1 species